rnacentral:lncRNA from 1 species
CAACUUUUAAGAAAUUAAUUACAAUUAAUAAAGGUUGUAAUUAUCUUGGAAGUGUUUUCUUUUGAAUUAUUUAGUCUUUGAAUCUUUUGAAUUAAAAAUUAAUGAAUUAAACUUUGUAUAUACAACCCUGAGAAUUGAAAACCCUCUGUUAUAAUUGUUUUUGGAUUAAUAACAUUUGAUACCCUUGUCACAUAAAUGCUAAUAAUUCAGAAUUUGUGUCAAUAAUUCAUAUUUUGUGGUUGAGAAUGUCG